UGUUCUGUGGCUUAGUUGGUUAAAGCACCGGUCUAGCGAAUACGGAGUCGUGGGUUCGUAUCCAACAAGAACGC
rfam:Aedes albopictus isolate Foshan contig161970, whole genome shotgun sequence.